UCCAAUGAAAACCGCUGCCAGGGGGACAUUUGAACUCCGCCGCUCGCUGUCUGGCUCUCCUCUCCCGGCCCAGUGCACCUCUCUCCCCCCCUCCCGGCCGGCGCACUCGCUAGCGCGCUCGCUCGCUCGCUCUGCCGCUACCCGACGAGUCCUCAACAAGUUGGAGUAAGGCAGGAACGCAGGGGUUAAGCUCGGAAAGCCGCAAUUACCAAGAUCGUGACCCUCCCACACAGUACUGUAACUUAUAUACUUACCUGGAAGAGCCUGCUUUGCCACUGGGCCAACACCCGUGGGGGGCGGGGAAGGGCGGGAGGGGAGCGGACCGGUUGGAGAGGGGCUCCUUCAAGCUGGCUGCAGUGCGGACUGGACCGGCGCGCCCCCGCGGCCUCGGGACCAGGUGAUCAAAAGUGCCCUGACACCCAGAGGUCUGCGUGAGGGGCGGCCACCAAAGGAAGGGGUCUCAGGCCACAGGAGCUGAAGAGUCUGGACAGAUGAACUCUGGAGUCUCAGGAAAAUAAAAGUUUUAUCUCCUGAGGAACCUUGAAGAUUCUUUUAAAGGUGAAACGUUUCGUCUUUCGGAAGAUGGGGUGCAAGAGGAUGGUCCUGUCCCAGGUCUUGGAGAGGUCAGGAUGCCACCAGAAUUGCACACCUUCUCAUCUGAGCUUAAAGGAGACGUUAAGUGUGAUAUUUUGAACUAUGUUUAAAUGAAGAUGAGAUAGAAGACAAUAGAACUGUUAGAAAUAUGUAAGUUUUAUUGUACAGCCAAAUAAGGAUUCAGCUGUUGUAGUGUGUUCUUUAAGAUUCCUAGUUUCUAUGUAAUUCUCUAAUUUUGUUUCAUUCUAUUGAACUACUCCUGAUUUCACCCUGAAAAUCUGACCUGAAACUCAAUUACAGAAAUACUGCCAAUGAAUUUAAAAUCAAAUGGGAACAUUUGUAUAUGAAUACGAUACAAUAUUGUUGAUUCACAUUUCUUUCCAUAUUAAAGACUAUUCUGAACUCUAAAUCUUUUAAAUAAAUGAGACUGAAAUCCA